UUACAUAAAUCCGGCACCGCCACUACUGGCCUGCCAUUUGACAUUUCUUGGCGGCGGCAAGAUCGACUCCAGAUCGUCGUUUCUAGACGGCGCGCAGCGCACCGGCUCGACGACGGCUGGUCCAAUUCAGCGUCCGACAGGGAGACAGAGGCAGCAUCAUGUACAUCCGGCCGUUGCACCGAUGGGAGACAAACGAUGCUGAUUAAUUGCUUGAACAAGUUAUCCCGUCCUAAUCCAAAUCCCACCUGCAGAUCAAACGAGGCUUUGCUUGAUACGAACAAAAUCGGCGGCGGCGGCGCGGCGGCAGACUCACGGUGCAACGCAUCGUCCAUCCAACCGACGACACGAUCGUCCCCCAGCGGCGUCAUUGGCAAGCAGGCGAUGGUUGCCAACCGGCGUCAGAACAUGUUGACUCCAAUGACUCAAAUGCUUACCUCAACCCUGCAACAAGCUAGCGUAGAGGGUCUGCGCCAUGGGAAAAAGCUCUUGUUUGGAAACUGUGAUUUAGUGGCAUAA
rnacentral:lncRNA from 1 species